ACGGAAGGCAGCAGUGGGGAAUAUUGCACAAUGGGCGAAAGCCUGAUGCAGCGACGCCGCGUGAGCGAAGAAGUAUUUCGGUAUGUAAAGCUCUAUCAGCAGGGAAGAAGAAAUGACGGUACCUGACCAAGAAGCCCCGGCUAACUACGUGCCAGCAGCCGCGGUAAUACGUAGGGGGCAAGCGUUAUCCGGAUUUACUGGGUGUAAAGGGAGCGCAGGCGGCAGGGCAAGUCUGAUGUGAAAACCCGGGGCUUAACUUCGGGACUGCAUUGGAAACUGCUCAGCUUGAGUGUCGGAGAGGUAAGUGGAAUUCCUAGUGUAGCGGUGAAAUGCGUAGAUAUUAGGAGGAACACCAGUGGCGAAGGCGGCUUACUGGACGACAACUGACGCUGAGGCUCGAAAGCGUGGGGAGCAAACAGGAUUAGAUACCCUGGUA
rnacentral:rRNA from 1 species